rnacentral:rRNA from 1 species
GUUAAAAAGCUCGUAGUUGGAUCUCGGCGGUCUGAGGGCGGUUCGCUUGAUUGAGUGCUACUGCUCUAUAGGCCGUGGUUUUGCCAGAGGUCUCGGGGUGCUCUUAACCGAGUGUCCUGCGAUGCUGGCAGGUUUACUUUGAAAAAAUUAGAGUGCUCAAAGCAGGCUUUUACGCCUGAAUAUUCGUGCAUGGAAUAAUAGAAUAGGAAGUCGUUUCUAUUUUGUUGGUUUUCGGAAAUCGACUUAAUGAUUAAUAGGGACAGUCGGGGGCAUUUGUAUUCAAACGACAGAGGUGAAAUUCUUGGACCGUUUGAAGACAAACUACUGCGAAAGCAUUUGCCAAGAAUGUUUUCAUUAAUCAAGAACGAAAGUUAGAGGUUCGAAGGCGAUUAGAUACCGCCCUAGUUCUAACCAUAAACGAUGCCAGCUAGCGAUCUGCCGACGUUUUCUUUGUAGACUCGGCAGGAAGCUUCCGGGAAACCAAAGCAUUUGGGUUCCAGGGGAAGUAUGGUUGCAAAGCUGAAACUUAAAGGAAUUGACGGAAAGGCACCACCAGGAGUGGAGCCUGUGGCUUAAUUUGACUCAACACGGGAAAUCUCACCAGGCCCGGACACUGGAAGGAUUGACAGAUUGAUAGCUCUUUCUUGAUUCGGUGGGUGGUGGUGCAUG